CCACCACUGGUCGAUUUCCGGCGUCUGCAUCCAUACGACCACCGUUUCCGUAACAAGAGCAUUUCAACUCUGAGCUGUUACCAUAGAAAUGGGGAGUGCCGAUGCCAACAAGCUCAGGUUUUGCAUUGACAGAGGGGGCACAUUCACUGAUGUUUAUGCUCAGAUCCCCGGUCAGCCUGAUGGUCGUGUUUUGAAACUUUUAUCGGUUGAUCCAUCAAACUAUGAUGAUGCUCCAGUAGAAGGAAUUCGCAGGAUUUUGGAAGAAUUUACCGGGCAGAAAAUUUCUCGUCGUUUGAAGUUACCUACUGACAAGAUAGAGUGGAUAAGGAUGGGUACAACUGUUGCUACAAAUGCACUUUUGGAGAGGAAAGGGGAAAGCAUUGCUCUUUGUGUGACUCGGGGUUUCCGGAAUUUGCUGCAGAUUGGUAAUCAGGCUCGUCCAAAUAUUUUUGACCUCACUGUAUCUAAACCGUCCAACCUUUAUGAGGAGGUUAUUGAGGUUGACGAGAGAGUGGAGCUCAUUCAUGACAGUGAAGAUUCUACUUCUGCAUCCUUAGUUAAAGGGGUUUCUGGUGAGAUGGUUAAAGUUGUAAAGCCCCUCGAUCUAGAAACUUUAAAGCCAUUACUCAAAGGUUUGCUGGAGAAGGGAAUUAGCUGUUUGGCAGUUGUGUUAAUGCAUUCGUACACUUACCCACAACAUGAAAUAGCUGUUGAAAGGUUAGCAGCUAGCAUGGGCUUUAAACAUGUUUCCUUAUCCUCAGCUUUGACACCUAUGGUUCGAGCUGUUCCUCGGGGUCUAACAGCUAGUGUUGAUGCAUAUCUAACUCCAGUAAUCAAAGAUUACUUGUCGGGGUUCAUGUCUAAGUUUGAUGAAGGGCUGGGGAAGGUGAACGUUUUGUUUAUGCAAUCUGAUGGAGGACUUGCACCAGAAAGUCGAUUUUCAGGGCACAAAGCUGUUCUGUCAGGCCCUGCUGGUGGGGUUGUGGGUUACUCUCAAACACUUUUUGGGCUUGAAACUGAGAAACCUCUUAUUGGGUUUGACAUGGGUGGCACAUCUACUGAUGUGAGCCGUUAUGCUGGGACUUACGAACAAGUUCUGGAAACUCAAAUUGCUGGUGCCAUUAUACAAGCACCUCAACUUGACAUAAAUACUGUAGCUGCUGGUGGCGGAUCAAAGUUAAAGUUCCAAUUUGGAGCUUUUCGGGUAGGACCAGAAUCAGUGGGUGCACAUCCAGGUCCAGUGUGUUACCGCAAAGGUGGGGAGUUAGCUGUUACAGAUGCAAACUUAGUCCUCGGAUAUGUAAUUCCUGAUUAUUUCCCAUCAAUAUUUGGCCCCAAUGAAGAUCAGCCUUUAGAUAUUGAGGAAACAAGAAAAGAAUUUGAAAAUCUUGCUGAGCAAAUAAAUUCCUAUCGGAAGAGCCAGGAUCCAUCUGCAAAGGACAUGACAGUAGAAGACAUUGCAUUGGGAUUUGUGAAUGUUGCCAAUGAGACCAUGUGUCGUCCAAUAAGGCAACUAACUGAGAUGAAGGGCCAUGAGACAAAGGAUCAUGCACUUGCUUGCUUUGGAGGUGCUGGGCCUCAACAUGCAUGUGCAAUUGCUAGGUCGUUGGGUAUGAAAGAAGUACUAAUACACAGAUUUUGUGGAAUCUUAAGUGCUUAUGGGAUGGGAUUGGCAGAUGUUGUUGAAGAGGCACAGGAACCAUACUCUGCAGUAUACAGUCUGGAUUCUGUGCAGGAGGCAUCUCACAGGGAAGCUGCUUUACUGAAUCAAGUAAAGCAAAAGUUGCAAGAGCAAGGUUUUAAAGAUGAAAACAUAAAAACGGAGACAUAUUUGAAUUUGAGAUAUGAAGGAACAGACACCUCAAUCAUGGUUAAGAAACGAAAAGGUGGAGAAUGCAAGUAUGAUCUGGACUUUGUGGAACUAUUCCAGCAGGAGUACGGAUUUAAAUUACUGAAUAGGAAUAUUCUAGUAAAUGAUGUUAGGGUUCGAGGGGUAGGAGUGACUAACAUUUUGAAGCCACUGGCUUUGGAAUCUGUAUCAUGUUCUCCUAGAGUUGAAGGUAACUACAAGGUUUAUUUUGAGAACGGGUGGCAAGAAACACCUCUUUACAAGCUUGAGAAUCUGGGAUAUGGGAAUGUCAUGGAUGGUCCGGCAAUAAUUAUGAAUGGGAACAGUACUGUGAUAGUGGAACCUAAGUGCAAAGCUAUGAUAACCAAGUAUGGUAACAUUAAAAUUGAAAUUGAAUCUGCUUCAAGCACCCUGAAAGUAGUAGAGAAGGUUGCAAAUGUUGUGCAGCUCUCAAUCUUUAAUCAUAGAUUUAUGGGUAUAGCCGAACAGAUGGGAAGGACCCUGCAGAGAACCUCUAUAUCAACUAACAUCAAGGAAAGGCUAGAUUUCUCUUGUGCCCUCUUUGGACCUGGUGGGGGAUUAGUCGCUAAUGCUCCUCAUGUUCCUGUGCACUUAGGAGCAAUGUCUAGUACAGUUCGGUGGCAGCUCAACUAUUGGGGUGAAAAUUUGAAUGAAGGAGAUGUUUUGGUCACCAAUCAUCCUUGUGCCGGAGGUAGCCAUCUUCCUGAUAUAACAGUUAUCACACCUGUAUUUGAUAAUGGAAUGCUGGUAUUUUUUGUGGCAAGUAGAGGGCAUCAUGCAGAGAUCGGAGGUAUUACUCCUGGAAGCAUGCCACCAUUUUCCAAGUCUAUAUGGGAAGAAGGGGCUGCUAUAAAAGCAUUUAAGCUUGUUGAAAAGGGGAUUUUUCAAGAAGAAGGAAUUACUAAACUUCUCUGCUUCCCCUAUGAUGAUUUGGCACAAAAGAUCCCAGGAACUCGCAGGCUUCAAGAUAACUUAUCAGAUCUUCGAGCCCAAGUAGCUGCAAACCAGAGAGGAAUCACUCUUAUUAAAGAGCUCAUUGAGCAGUAUGGUUUGGAAACAGUUCAAGCUUACAUGACCUAUGUGCAGCUGAAUGCAGAAGAAGCAGUGAGAGAAAUGCUCAAGUCUGUUGCUGCUAGAGUUUUAUCGCAGUCAGCCAGGUCUGGAGACAAGAGUUCUGUCAUUAUUGAAGAAGAGGAUUACAUGGAUGAUGGAUCCAUUAUUCAUCUGAAGCUGACCAUUGAUUCUGUUAAAGGUGAAGCAAAUUUUGACUUUAGUGGAACCAGUCCUGAAGUAUAUGGAAAUUGGAAUGCCCCAGAAGCUGUAACAGCUGCAGCAGUUAUAUACUGUCUUCGCUGCUUGGUGGAUGUUGAUAUUCCUCUGAAUCAAGGUUGUUUGGCUCCUGUGAAAAUCUAUAUUCCACCUGGUUCAUUCCUCUCUCCAAGUGAUAAGGCUGCUGUGGUGGGCGGUAAUGUUCUCACUUCUCAGAGAAUAACUGAUGUUGUACUUACUGCAUUUCAGGCUUGUGCUUGUUCACAGGGUUGUAUGAAUAAUCUUACUUUUGGGGAUGACACAUUUGGUUAUUACGAAACAAUUGGAGGUGGGAGUGGAGCUGGUCCAUCCUGGGAUGGGACCAGUGGAGUUCAAUGUCAUAUGACCAAUACCCGGAUGACUGAUCCAGAAAUAUUUGAACAGAGAUAUCCUGUUCUCUUGCACAAGUUUGCCUUGAGAGAGAACAGUGGAGGAGUUGGAUAUCAUAGAGGUGGUAAUGGGCUUGUGAGGGAAAUAGAGUUCAAGCGCCCAGUUGUAGUGAGCAUUCUUUCAGAGAGGCGUGUUCAUGCUCCGAGAGGGUUGAAAGGAGGGAAGGAUGGGUCUCGUGGAGCUAACUACCUAAUCACAAAAGAUAAGAGAAGGGUAUACCUGGGUGGUAAGAACACAGUUGAGGUGCAGUCGGGGGAAAUUCUUCAGAUUUUAACUCCUGGUGGUGGUGGAUGGGGCUCUCCUCUUUAAUUCCUUAAGUGAUAGUAUUUGAUGCCAAGUUUUCGACUUGUGUGAUGAUGUGUUUCUGGUUCGCAUGCCUUUUCUCUGGGACGUGAAAACUGACUGCUAGGGCGCUCAUAUGCCAGACAUGUAAUUCGAAGAUUUCACGACGCUCUGGAUUCCGGCAAACUGCCACAAAGUCAGUAAGCAAAUCUGUCACAAAAUUAACUUUCCGAAUAAGAUGCGAAGAAAGAGCUUAGGGGUUCAAAAAUGACAAGACGAGACGAGGGUUAAUGAGUUGGACAUACGUAUACGUACCUUACGUGUUGCUUACUAGAUAGUAUUAUACACUAAUACAUAUACACAUGAUCGUUGGCUUGGCCCAGCCAUCACCAUAGGUUAAAAACCGGCCCCGCUUUCACCGCACUGUUUUGAAACCUUCCAAGUUCCACCAAUGGAUUUUCUCCCAUAAUUUCUUACCACCACUUUGUUCGAUUACGGCAACAACUCCUUGCAACAAAACACAAACAUCCAUAGACAAACCCAAA